AAAACCCAAAAAGGCCCUUUUCAGGGCCACAAAAAUGUUUUUCCAAAGAAUGCCAUUUUCAAUUUUGACAAUAUUUAAUAAAAAGAUCAGUUAACUGCAAUCUUCGAUUUGCUAGAGACCAAAACAAUCUAUAUACACUAUGCCUGUGCAUCGUUCUCCAGGCGAACAGUUCGGCUAGGUUCUGUUCUGAAAAACUCGUUUAGAUCGCCGUCUGCGUCGAGGAGUUUGAACUGGACGCUAAGUUAAAUAAUAAAUAUCUGUGGCUUAUCAUAAGUAAUGCAAGGUUUUUAUAUAGUUUUGUAGCCCCGUAAAGGGCUUGUUUAAAUCCAUUUCAGAUGUAUUCGAGUGCAAGUGCGACCAUGUACACCAGCGUGUACCAUUUCGCAAUUUACUUCUUGGCCGCCGUCGUCUUUCGGCUUAAUUCCCUGUCUGUAAAAACGCAUAUGGCAGCGCAAUCAAAUGAGACAUCAGCAGCCGGUUGUGUAUGCCCUGAUAUCAUGGCUUUCUUCUGGGCUGAUUAUUGUAGCGCCAUCUGUUGGAGAUGCCAGGUCUUCGGUUUACUAUGCUGUGGCGCUCUCUGUCCGAUGUUUGCUUUGAAAGUGCAUAUAGAUACU
rnacentral:lncRNA from 1 species